AUGGCCUGGACCGCUCUCCUUCUGAGCCUCCUUGCUCACUUUACAGGUUCUGUGGCCUCCUAUGAGCUGACUCAGCCACUCUCAGUGUCAGUGGCCCUGGGACAGACGGCCAGGAUUACCUGUGGGGGAAACAACACUGGAAGUAAAAAUGUGCACUGGUACCAGCAGAAGCCAGGCCAGGCCCCUGUGCUGGUCAUCUAUAGGGAUAGCAACCGGCCCUCUGGGAUCCCUGAGCGAUUCUCUGGCUCCAACUCGGGGAACACGGCCACCCUGACAAUCAGCAGAGCCCAAGCCGGGGAUAAGGCUGACUAUUACUGUCAGGUGUAG